rnacentral:lncRNA from 1 species
UGAAAUUUGGUCACAUGAUAUUCACCUGACAAGUUUUCUGUGUUUGGGGAAAAAUUUUUACGAACAAGUAAACUUUAAGUAAAAAAAAUCAAAAGACGGCAAAAUGAAAAUCUGUGGUCCAAAAUUAUCCCUUUGUGGUUUGAUUAUCUCCGUAUGGGGAAUUGUUCAACUGGUAAGUAAAUUGGUUCUUCCAGCUGAAUGUAUGUGGUUUUAAUCACAGCUGAAAGUCACAAGGUUUCAGUUGUCUCAUGAUAUUUUUUAUCAAAUAAAUUUUAAUGUUACUUCGGUUUUAGGUGCUCAUGGGGCUCUUUUUCUAUAUUAAUAGUGUGGCCCUUAUUGAGGAUUUGCCCCUAGGAGAAGAGUACCAUACUCUCGAAGAAUUUUAUGCAGCUGCGAAUAGAGCGUACAAUCAGGUUAGUUUAUAUCACGGGAUAAAUCGGUCUGCUUGACUUUAAAAUGACCAAAAAUGUGUAUGUAUGUGUGUGUACAUAGCCAUUAAUAGCAUACAUAAGUACAUAACGCAUAUCAUAUUUCGGCUCAACCAGUAAUGUUUUGUUGCAGUAACAGGUAUUGGUUUUUUUUCAGAACGCCUACAACUGCUGGAUCGCAGCUUGCAUUUACGUUUUAACAUUGUUGCUCUCUGCGCAGCAAUUCUACAUGAAUAGCAGAGUAACUGCUAAUUAAUUAUUUCAGUUUAAGAUUUCCAACUGGUACAACUGAUAUAUAAUUUACUGGUGUGUUCAUUAAAGUUUGCACUAAAAAAGUAUUGAAAUGUUCAAUUAAAGAUAUUUGUUAAACCCUUUACAAUUAUUGUUAAUAUUCGCUUACGUGAUGUCGUUGAAGUAUAAUCUGGAGCAUUUGCUGUAAUCCUCACACAAAAGUCCACAGAUAUAAAGUUUGCACAUGUAAUAUACUUAAUUGUUUUCGUUCAUAAAAUACAUUCCGUCUUGGUUUAAUUAUUUUCAAAUAUUCGCAGUAAUGAGUAAUGAGGCUCACAAAGGUGUCGCCGCCUCUUUGGACAAAUGCAAUGUAAUGCAUUGGACAAAAAUUUAUUUCUAUGACAUCCCUUAUAAUUAACAUGUUUAUGGAAGAAUAAAUAUAAACUAACUUGAUUA